rnacentral:SRP_RNA from 1 species
GCUGGGCAUGGUGGCACAUGCCUGUAGUCCCAGCUACUCGGGAGGCUGAGGUAAGAGGAUUGCUUGAGCCCAGGAGAUCAAGACUGUAGUGAGCCAAGGUAGCGCCACUGCACUCCAGCCUGGGCAACAGAGUGAGACCCUGUCUCAA